GAUGAACGCUAGCUACAGGCUUAACACAUGCAGGUCGAGGGGAAACGAUAGAGAAAGCUUGCUUUUUCUAGGCGUCGACCGGCGCACGGGUGAGUAACGCGUAUCCAACCUGCCCACCACUUGGGGAUAACCUUGCGAAAGUAAGCAUAAUACCCAAUGAUAUCCCAAGAAGACCUCUGAAUGAGAUUAAGGAUUUAUCGGUUAUGGAUGGGGAUGCGUCUGAUUAGCGUGUUGGCGGGGUAACGGCCAACCAAGGCGACGAUCAGUAGGGGUUCUGAGAGGAAGGUCCCCCACAUUGGAACUGAGACACGGUCCAAACUCCUACGGGGGGCAGCAGGGAGGAAUAUUGGUCAAUGGGCGAGAGCCUGAACCAGCCAAGUAGCGUGCAGGAUGACGGCCCUAUGGGUUGUAAACUGCUUUUAUAAGGGAAUAAAGUGAGUCUCGUGAGGCUUUUUGCAUGUACCUUAUGAAUAAGGACCGGCUAAUUCCGUGCCAGCAGCCGCGGUAA
rnacentral:rRNA from 1 species